CUAUACCUACGGGGGGCAGCAGUGGGGAAUAUUGCACAAUGGGGGAAACCCUGAUGCAGCGACGCCGCGUGAGUGAAGAAGUAAUUCGUUAUGUAAAGCUCUAUCGGCAGGGAAGAAAAUGACGGUACCUGAGUAAGAAGCCCCGGCUAACUACGUGCCAGCAGCCGCGGGAAUACGUAGGGGGCAAGCGUUAUCCGGAUUUACUGGGUGGAAAGGGAGCGUAGACGGCAGUGCAAGUCUGGAGUGAAAGGCUGGGG
rnacentral:rRNA from 1 species